GUGAUGUCAAAUGUCAGUGUGGCUUUACAGAGUACAAGAUGACAAGCAGAGUAGAGUGCUUACAAGGUCUCCCAUCCCCUGCAACAAUUGACAGGGUCAGCACAAUCAAAAGGAACCCACUACUUCAAGAUGUAGUUUCCAUUAUCUUAAUGAUUUUAAAAGAGAAUUGGAAGAAUUCAUGGAGCAUCAAGAAUCUCACUGAUUAUGAGCCAUGAGAAUUAAAAACAAACCUCCUAUUCAAAGGCAGUAUACCUC